rnacentral:lncRNA from 1 species
GGGAGCGAAGCCUGCAGGGUCCGCCUUCUCCCGGCCAGGCCAGCUCGGGCCUUUCCUCCGCCGCCGGGCCGCGUGCCGGCUCGAGGGGACGGACCUUGUUCUGUCUUCGCCCGAGGACUUUACACCCUCAGCGCCGGGGACCUGCUUCGAAACGUGCGACAACCUGGGAGGACGGAGCGGGCUCGCGCUCAGCAAGCUCUAGCGAGGAAAGACGCCGCGAGAACCCCAGGACCCCUGCCAUACUGUUCCAUGCUGAAGGGCAGACACACCUGCUUCCCCCUCGUCACCUGUUCCCAACCUGUCACUGGCGGUUUUCCUUCCGAAUACCUGAGCCAUUCGCUUUCUAGGGAAAACGUGACUGGAGCCAGGUUACUGGAGUCAGCCUUGGAGACUUGAACUGCUGGAGGGAAAUCUGUGACGGAGCUCAGGGAGACACAAAGCCACUCGGUCAUCAGACCCGCCCCCCUUUGGAUUCUGGAGCCCAUGUUCCCACAAGACUCCAGCCAUGCCGCUCAAAACUAUCCUGAAAUACUUUCAAACUUAGUGCUUGCUCAGGCGCCUUAGGGAGGUUUAAGUCCAGGGUGCAAAGGUCAACUUCAAAUUCUGCUGAAUUCUUUUAUCUCAACUCUUAGAACUCUCAGCCUCGGGUUAAGGUGCUGCCAAUUUUAAAGUAGACACUUCAGGUUGAAUAAGGUGAGAGUGUGUCGGUGAACACGAGAAUGAAAACCGGUAUGCACAGCUAGGGCAUAGUUAUUCACUGCUCCUCACUACCGCUAGCAAAACAGCACAUGUAGUGUCUUACAGAAGUUGGGCACAUCAGUGAUUAAAACGGUGCUUCCUAGUCAUAAACUGAAAGCACCAGGAACUCAGCUCUUCCUUGGUUCACUCCUUAGACAUUCAUUCCGCCUCCUGGUGGCGUCUGUCAGAAACGCUCUUCCUUUCCUGUUCCUACUGAAUGGGGUAGGCUCUAACACAGCGAUUAUAAGUACAUUGGAAAAAUAGCCAGCCAUGGUAGUGCACACCGG